rnacentral:tRNA from 1 species
GAGGGUAGAGCUCAGUGGUAGAGCACAUGCCUAGCAUGCACGAGGUCCUCGGUUCAAUCCUCAGUACCUCCG